rnacentral:rRNA from 1 species
UACAGAGGUCUCAAGCGUUGUUCGGAUUCAUUGGGCGUAAAGGGUGUGUAGGUGGCGCGCUAAGUCGGGUGUGAAAUUUCGGAGCUUAACUCCGAAACUGCAUUCGAUACUGGCGUGCUUGAGGACUGGAGAGGAGAGUGGAAUUCCUGGUGUAGCGGUGAAAUGCGCAGAUAUCAGGAAGAACACCCGUGGCGAAGGCGGCUCUCUGGGACGGUACUGACGCUGAGACGCGAAAGCGUGGGGAGCGAACAGG